GUCAGAGCCCGCGUCAAGUUACACGCCGUGCACCGGAAAAAGAACGGAUAACUUCCACAAUAAAGGCCCUGUUGACGUAGGAGGUUGUCAGACCCAGGGCAGGAGCACCCAGGGGGGAGCACUGGACCUCAUGAAGCACCUGGGGGCUCAAACUCAAAGUGAACAUAAGACAUCACUUUCUUUCAAGCAGGCCUGGAUGAAUGCAGAGGUGAGGACUCUAUUCAGAGCCAAAAAAGCUGCCUUUGAAUCAGGUAACAGGGAAGUAUACAGCACUGCCAGGGCAAGAUUGAAGCCUGGCAGCAAAAAGGCAAAGAGGAG